GUCCAGCUAGCACAGUUGGUAGAGCAUGAGACUCUUAAUCUCAGGGUCAUGAGUUCGAGCCCCAUGUUGGACA